AUGAAGUUCAACAACGAAACACAUUUCACUUUCAGCUCCAAAUCCACCAUGCUUGCACUCGCAGUCUUCCUGCUCCUGCUCACCGAAACCACAACAGGGUGGUCCAAGCCAGAAGCACUGAGGACGACCCAUGAUCGAGGAGGAUGCAUCGCCAGGGAGAGGGAAGCUCUGUUGUCCAUCAAAGCCGGCAUCACGGCUGACCCAGAUGGCCUACUCUCGUUGUGGCGAGGGCAGGACUGCUGCCGGUGGGAGGGUGUGAGCUGCAGCAACAUGACCGGCCAUGUCAUCAAACUCGACCUCCAUAAACGGGACGACCAGUCUUCCCUGGAAGGUGAGAUAAGCUCUUCUCUGAAAGACCUGCAGCAUCUGCAGCACCUGGACCUUGGCGGGAAUGAGGAUCUCACCGGGCCUGGAGGACGCCUCCCAGAGUUCUUAGGGUCUCUUGGUGACCUGCGGUACCUCAACCUCUCCAGCCUGGAUUUUUCUGGCACAGUGCCCCAUCAACUUGGCAACCUCACGAGGUUGUUAUACCUCGAUCUGAGAUCUUAUUAUGGUCUAUCUAAAGAAUUGCACCAAGAAGAUCUCUUAUGGCUGCCACAGCUCUCUUUGCUCAAACAUCUUGACAUGAGUUAUGUGAACCUCAGCACUGUGAUAGGCUGGGUUGACACAGUAAACAAGCUGGCCGCUCUUGAGGUCCUCAGGCUAUCGUCAUGUUCGCUUAAUAGCACAGGCCACUUUGUGUCCCGCUCGAAUCUCACCAUGCUCGAGAUCCUUGACAUCUCUGGCAAUUCAAUUGAAUUGCAGUUCAAGGCUAUCAGUUGGGUUUUGGAUGCAACCAGCCUCAUAUAUCUCAGCCUUGAGUAUAGCGGUAUAUAUGGCAUGUUUCCUGCACAUUUGGGAAACUUCACCUCACUUGAAGUCCUUCAGCUGAGUGGUAACUAUCUGAAGGGAAUGCUACCAGAUACACUCACGAGCCUCUGCAGGCUGAGAAUAUUUGAACUGGCAGGGAAUGAUGUUCAAGGGGAUGUGACAGUUUUAAUCGACAGGUUACCGAAAUGUUCAUGGUGUCAGUUGCAGGUCUUGCGUCUGGGCCACAAUAGCAUAACCGGUUCCUUGUCAGACUGGAUCAGCAACGUGACUAGCUUGACCACUCUUGAUCUUAGAUUCAACAAGCUUACAGGACCUCUGACAACUGGGAUAGGUAUGCUUUCUAACCUGAUUUAUCUGAACCUAGGCUACAAUCAGAUGGAUGGACUCAUCACUCAAGGUCACUUCGCCAAGCUUACAGAGUUGCGGCACCUACACUUAUCUGGAAAUUCCUUUACCAUGGAGCUGAACUCUGACUGGAUCCCUCCGUUCACAUUACAGUCACUAGGAUUAACAUCAUCCUAUCUUGGGCCGAGAUUUCCUCAAUGGCUUAAAUCACAGAAGAACAUCUCCUUCCUUUAUAUGUCUGGUACUGGCAUAGUUGAUACCAUGCCUGGUUGGUUUUGGACAGUAUUUAUAGGGGCUGAAAUUUUGGACCUCUCCAGCAAUAACAUUGGUGGCAAAUUACCGGCUACUCUUGGACAAAUGGGAGCUGAUGUCUUAGAUCUAAGCUCGAAUCGAUUCACAGGCUCAGUACAACAGCUACCUCAGUACACAACUGAAUUGGAUCUCUCAAGCAACUUUCUGUCAGGGCCUCUACCAUUGAGUUUAUGGCCAAUAUAUAUAGAGAGUUUGUUUCUUUCUAACAACUACUUCACAGGCACUAUCCCGGCAUCGUUAUGCCAAAUACAGUCCCUGAGAUAUCUUGACAUUGGAAGUAAUAUGAUAACAGGUCACUUACCUCGAUGUUCAGAACAUGUGACAUCAAGUUCAGCAAUGGUAACGCCUAACACAACCUCUCCGGAUAGUGAUUCAAGCUCUACCAUGCCACUAUCUAUGUCAAUUGAGACUCUUAGGAUCGACAACAAUAGCCUCUCGGGAGAAUUCCCUCUGUUAAUACAGAAUUGCCCAGAACUAACUUUUGUUGAUCUUGGGCAAAAUAAGUUUUCUGGGAGCAUACCAGAAUGGAUUGGACAGAAAUUGCCACAACUGAAAUAUCUGCGUCUCAGAUCCAACAUGUUUUCUGGCUAUAUACCUGCCCAGCUUAAAGAACUUCGUCAUCUCCAAUAUUUGGACCUAGCACACAACAACUUCUCAGGCUCUAUACCUCGGUCCCUGCUAAACAUGGAUGGCAUGACCAAAACCACAGAAUUAGCAGAUCGGGAUAUUCCGUCCGGCACUUCCAGCGGCAUUAUUGCUGUAGAUGAUGGCGAUGUUCCUGGAGGAUUUGCGUAUUAUUAUAUUGAUAGCAUAUUUGUAGUCACAAAAGGGCAAGGACGAGAAUAUAUUGGUCAAUCAAUAUACAUGGUGAGUCUAGAUUUGUCCUUGAAUCAUUUAACUGGAGAUAUCCCCAAAAGCAUUGGUCCCGCAUCCGGUUUAGUGAGCAUGAAUCUGUCUCUGAACCACUUGACUGGAAAAAUCCCAGAGAGCAUUGGCUCCAUGCGCUCACUGGAAUCACUUGAUCUCUCCAGCAACCAGCUCUCUGGCGAAAUCCCUUCGAGACUAUCCGAUCUAACAUUGCUAAGCUAUCUGAAUUUGUCCUACAACAAAUUGUCAGGAAGGAUACCGUCAGGCCCCCAGCUCGACACACUCAACCCUGAUGAUCCCACCUCCAUGUACAUUGGCAACCCUGGACUCUGCGGGCCUCGUCUCCGGAAGACUUGUCCAGGAAACCAUGCAGCGGAAAGCCACCCCAAAGAGAGCAAAGGAGGAUCCGAGACGAUGCCCUUGUGUUUUGGACUAAGCGUCGGCUUGGUAUUUGGCCUUUGGGUAGUGUUCUGCUCCCUUCUGUUCAAGAAAACGUGGAGGGUCUCCUAUUUCCUGUUCUUUGAUGAGGCUUGUGAUAAAAUGUAUGUAUUUGUGGUUGUGAAUUGGGCGAGGAUGAGGCGGAAGGUGAUGGCCACAGAUUGA
rnacentral:rRNA from 1 species